rnacentral:rRNA from 1 species
AACGUAGGACGCAAGCGUUAUCCGGAGUUACUGGGCGUAAAGGGCAGGCAGGCGGGUCGAUAAGUCGGAUGUGAAAUCUCCCUGGCUUAACCGGGAGAGUGCAUUUGAGACUGUCAACCUGGAGGGCAGCAGGAGGAGCGUGGAAUUCCGGGUGGAGUGGUGAAAUGCGUAGAGAUCCGGAGGAACACCAGAGGCGAAAGCGGCGCUCUGGGCUGCGACC